rnacentral:rRNA from 1 species
UACGUAGGGGGCAAGCGUUAUCCGGAUUUAUUGGGCGUAAAGAGCUCGUAGGCGGCCGUUCGCGUCGGAUGUGAAAGCUCAGGGCUCAACUCUGAGAUGCCAUUCGAUACGGGACGGCUAGAGGUAGGUAGGGGAGAGUGGAAUUCCUGGUGUAGCGGUGAAAUGCGCAGAUAUCAGGAGGAACACCAAUGGCGAAGGCAGCUCGCUGGGACGGUACUGACGCUGAGACGCGAAAGCGUGGGGAGCAAACAGG